UGGAAUAUAUGCAGGAGAUAAGAAUAGUAUAAAUGCAGAGCCAAUCCUUUGUUCAAAUUGCGACCCUGGUGGAGUGUAAACUCCCCUCGGCCGCCCGCCCAGCGCUGUUUUGCUCACUUAACCGCCAUGCUUAAUUGAAUAAAGCUGUCCCUUUAUCGCACUAGACUUUGUCUGGUUUUGUCACAAGAAUCUACAACAAGGGAAGGCAGGCGAUAGAAAAGAUAGAAAGAGGCAAGAAUUGCGUAAAGCGGGGAUAGUCACCACCAGGAUCCAGCAACGGUCCCGUUGCACGACGUUCCGACGGUCCAUGGCAAAAGAGCAGGGGAAGUGCAGCAGUAGCGUGGCCAGUCUUGGGCAGCAAGAAUGUGCAGUUAUCAGGUAGGUUCAGGAAGAACUCCGGGAGGAAGAAGCAGGCCCUGGAGAGUCCGUCAGCAUGCAGACCUUCCUUAGUGAGGGAUCUGAUGGCAGACACCUUGGGGGGAGAGCAGUAGCAGAAGGCCAGCCUUAGGAAGCAAGCAGGUAGAGUGCAGAGCAAGUCCAGGAGGGAGCAAACAACUACUUCUUGUUCUUCAGCAUGCAGGUCUCGGGUCGCGAGGAAUCUGUCAGAAACCCUCUCUCUUCUUCAGCACGAGGAAUCUGUUGUCAGAAACACCUCUUCAUGAGGAAUCUGUAGUCAGAAACCUAAUCUUAUGGUUGUUCGUCCCUUUUUUAUCCUUCUGCCAACGUGGCAUUCCUGGGUGCUUGGGGAACAUUCAUGUGCAAAUACCCCCUGAGAUGGCUAUCUCCCUUGAGAUAAGCCCCCACAAAAGACUGCUUCCUGGCCAUUAAGCUCUGGCUUACCUCUCUCUCGUUGCCCUCGGCCUUGUCCAUCUGUGUCCCUCAGACAAAGGAUUUUGCACCCCCUGCCCAAGACUGGUCCACCUGUGUCCUCCAGACAAAGGACUUCUCAAACCUUGAUCAGGACUUGUUUGGACUUGUUCAUCUGUGACCCUCAGCAAGCUUUGAGACAAUGAUGCAAAACAAUAAACCCUUACAAGCCCUGAAGAGCUCUGUGAAUAAAUACCAUGAUUCUCUGCAGAUCUGGUUGAAGACUCCUGUUAACAGCUUUCUUUCCCAUUCAUGGCACCACUGCCGUCAGGAUCCAAAGCCACAUUGGCAUAUCUCCUUCUCAAGUGAAAGAUGAAGAAUGUAUUGACAGUUCCUGGAGUGACUUUAAAAAAAGUGCUGUGAAACUAUGCAGUGAACCCUAAUGGAGAAAGUGAGUGAGAAAAAAGAUAUUUUUACCAAGAAUCCAGCUACAUUUUUCUUCUUAAAGGUCAAUCAAUGACAGCAUGAACUUUUUCAAUACUGAGAAGCAGCAAUAAAUUGCUUUCAUCAUACAUGGUGGAUCAGGUACACUGUUGGAUGAGUUUUAAUUUCAAAAAUAAUAAUAAGUGACCUUCUUUAUAAAACCACUAUUGUUUAUUUUGACAGAAAUAUAGAUUAUAUGACAAUUUUCUUAAAUUUCCACAAUACUGAUAUUUCUUGUCAAACUGUCAAUCAAAAAGUAGUUAUAUUAAAAUUCUUUCUUCUUCCCAAGUCUUCAGAUACAAAAGUUCAAAAGUUGUCCACAGUGAGGGUGAGAUCUAUAAUGUCUAAGCUGUUCCAUGUAUUAUAAAUCAAUUUUUAAUCAAGAUAGGUAAACAUUUGAAGAGAAGAUCCAAACCAACUUAUGUUAUUUGCACACUUAGCCAAAUCCUAAAGUGAUUACAAACCUAUAGGUGUUUGACUGAGGAAAGGUCUAGUGAAAACUGACCAAGAAGUUAAUAAUAUUAUUCAUAUUGACUUUUUAUCAUUGUUCUGGAAUAUCUUGAAGUACAACAGCUGAAAUUUCUUCACAAAUCAGCGGAUGUAGUGGCAGAGGUUAAGAUAAGUUUUGUCUUGAUGUUAAGUAUAAUGAAAAUCUAGAGGAGAAGGAAAGAGAGACAAAGACUAUACAAAUACAUUUCAGCUAUUGAGACCACUGUAAAUCUAAUGUUACCUUACAGACUCUGGGAACAUCCAAAUUCACAGCAAUCACUGUCCUAGGAGGUAGUGUCUUCAAAACAGACAAUUUACUCAGGCAAAUUAAUUAUUUUUAAUUAUAGACAUUAAUUACACUUCCAUUUUACUUAGAUCUCUCCUUAAAAUAAAAUUUAAAAUACUUAAUUCUAUUAAUUUCAUCAUCCUUGUUGUUAAAGUAACAACAACAGUGGUAACAUACAGUUAUCAUAUAUGCCCAUCUAGACGUUUUGAUACUUAUGCUAGUUCAGCCUUGCUUCUGGAACUCAUUAGUUUCUAAAAAGACAACGAUGAUAUUCCAACCUACAACACUAGAAUAUGGUAAAAGAGAUUUAAAGGUGGCACAGUGAAUUUCAAAAAACAGUAUUGUCUGAGAAACUUGAAAAUUAAAUUUUACUGACUAACAACAGAAGAACCUUUACUAAAGUAGCCAAAUAAUAGUAGAACAAGCCACUUUCUCAGGACAAUAUUCUAACUAAUUAUCCUGCCAUUUACAGUUAGAAGAAUUAAUAUGGCAACUUCAUGGUUUGUGCUCUAUGUCUGUUCUACAUAAUGGCAGCCAGUAAAUUGCCUUGUCAAUUACAAUUAAGAUGUUAACGCAAUGAUUUAAGGUCACAAAUGAUUUAGCAGAGUGGACUAAGGUAGACAUAUGUGGUUACAAGGUUACUUAAAUAAUGUCUAGACAAAGGUUAUUUAAAUUUUUAGCUGUUGGUUAAUUCAGUUUGUGAGCAACAAGUUGUCUUGAUUAAGUAAGCUCUAGAAUAUAUAAGUGAAAAGAGAUAAAGAAAGCAUGUCACAUUGCUCCCCUCUUCCUACUCCAGCAAUAGAAACAGUUUGAAGUCCCAGCAGAGGCAGCCAUACCAGUACGUUAGCAUAUGUAUCUUCUAUUAUGACAUUGUGUGAAAGAAAGUGGGAGCAGAAGCAUUCCUGUUACCUAUUUAUGUAAAAUUCCUGUUUAAAUUUCACAGAGCUUUCUUCCCUCACAGAGCUUUCUUUUCUUCCUCUACCCUAUUCACUUAAACACAGCAGCAGUAGCUGCUUGCCUCUUGAUAAUGAAAGUUUAGUUUAUUGUUAGUUUUGAAGCUUUGCGUAUACGACUUUGUUUUGUUUUGUUUUGUUUAUUUAAGGAGAAAUAAUAAGAAUAGAAAUAACGCUUAUUUUUAAAUAAUAAUGUAUUUUGUAUAUAAAAAUACAUAUAAAAAAUACAUACCCCAAACUGUGCCUGAAAACCUAUAUUUCAUUUAACAGAAGGUGGAUGAUAAUAAUAACCUACUAAUAGGUCUUCUAAUGAGUCUAUUUCUGUACUCGUUUUGAGUAUAACUGGGGAAAAAAAGAAGCCAACACCUUGACAAUUUGACUAUAUAAACUAUAUAAAUUAAGACAUUUUUUCCUGGCAAUUUUUUUCUGGAAAUAUUCAAGGACCUUGAGGAUAUCUUCAUUUCAGGAUGUUAGCUGAGGUGAAUUACAGAGUUCAGCUGACUGAAGACAGCUCCUUCACUGACAAGAGCUGUUACAAAGGGAUAUUGAAGCAAAGGCUGGCUCCUCCUUUCCCUGAGAGUAGCAUUUAAAAUGCUGUUCUGCAGCUAUGUAGUCUCUGCCUAUUUUCCUGUAUCCCUGAUCUUGACCUCACUGGUCAAACUGGAAGUUUGACUUCCUGGCUUGCCCUUGGACCUGCAACAUCACUGUGAACUUGAUGAGUUACCACUGGUCUCUGUUGGCCCCAAUUUCUGUUUCUGGACGUGGUCUUUAUUCUCUGCAUCCCACCUCCUUGUUAUUGCAGCCACUGCUAUUUCCUGCUCUGCUACUGUGCUCAGCUCCCAGUUUGCCUUCUUUGAAGCUGCUUACCUGGACAGUUUUAUCUUCUACUUUCAGUCUUUUGAACAGAUGUGUUCAUUUGUUACUCAACUUUAUGCCAAGAGUAUUGUGAGACUUUGAAAAUCUGUGUUUUGUACACUCUGAUAGGAGGUUCAUAAUGUGAAUCUUUUUUAAUUUCUUAAUGAGGAGGUAAGUGAUUUUCCCUCUGUGCAUGCUGAUGACAGUAUCAUGCUGCACGUGGUUAUGUUCUCUUCUCUGUAACCUCUCCAGAUAUUUCUGCCCCUGCAGGCUCCCGUCCCUCACAUUUCUCUGCUCAUACAGUUCCAAUUUCUGAUUUAUAGGUUCUUUGUUUUGUUUUGUUUUUUCUUGUGAGGGUCUGUAGGGAAUUAAUUUUGCAGUUUAAGCUUCUGAAAAAGAACAUAAUUAGUUCUUCCGUUUACAUCAGAUGAAGUAGUUGUUUCAACCACAAAAUGUAGCAAGGUAACACAUUCUCUAGUAAUACCUCAUUAAAAAUAAAGUGAACUUCUCCCUGUAAAUUAAUUUACCGUGCUGGUUGUAUGUAGAUUUAGGAGCUUAAUUUAUCUUAACACAGAGAUAAAAAUUUGGUGGUCUUCAGACUUUUGGAACUGGAAUGAGGCUAAAUUUUUCAAUUCUUUCCUGCAGUUCUGCAAAGUUCAUUAUUUAGCUCCUUUGCCUCAGAUUUCAGCUGAUAAAGAAUGAGAUGUUGUGACUUUUUGCAAAAGUCAAACAACUCAGGUGUCACAGGGAUUAACUAUUAGAUCCAAGAAUGAAACAUUCAAGAAUUCCCUAAACCAGAACACACAAGCAAAUGCCAAUCUCCAUUUAUAAUCCAGAAGUGAGAGUGCUUAUGCAGAGAAAAGGACUGUAUACUAUGAACUAAUUGCCAUAUGAGUGAAACAACUCAAGCACAAUUCAUACAUAGGUCUUAUGGCUUUUCUUCAGAUUUUGAAAAGUUUUAAAGAUUUUGCUUGAUUAAUUGCAACUGGAGAGAUCAAUUUCCUUUCCGUCCUGUCAGAUUCUUAACACACAUAAAAUGUCAUUUUUGUUGGUUUGUUUGUUUGCUUUGAAGAGGUACAUAAAUCAAUUGAUGAUAAAGCAUAAUUCAACUUCAGACCAUUUAGGCUACCUUACUUCCAGAAAUUUAAAGAGAAAUCUUUUGUAUAAAAUAAAUCAAAACCAAGUUUUUCCAUUUUACUAUACCAUGAGUGCUAUUUAACAAUUUAUUCACUUUCACAAUGAGACAUUAAGAAAGCACUUUUUUGUUGGAAAUUUAAUUUGGAAGGUAUUGUCAGAGAGAAGAGAUGAUGCUAUAUGCUUUUGAAAUUUUCUGGAGAAAGAAAUACAAUCUUUUUAAAAAAUCCUAUUUUUUUACCUAGUAUUUAUGUAGAUUAAUUUAGUCUAUCUAUUAAUUCUCAUAAUCUGCCCAGAUAAUUAAUAAUAAAUUUAUGGUAAUACAAAAGAGAAGAGAAACAAAAAGUUUCACUCUACUUUGAUAGAUGAAGUUUAGGUUUAAGUGAAGAAAUAACCAGCAUUAUUCAAAUAAGAGAAUGAAGAUGACAAGUUUUGUUUGAUCACUGGACUGUCUUACUUGUCUUAUAAGUAUAUUGCUCCAGAAUUAGUGACUCCUAUUUAUUUCUGUGGAAACUGCAGCAAGUACAAAGAAUACAAUAACACUAUUUCAUAGGGAAAAUUCUACACUACAAAACACUGUUUUUUAACACAGUCACAAGCAUUAGCUGUGUGUUUUUGCUAGCAAUGAAUGAGAGCCUGCAUGUAGUGCUCAUGAAAAUCUGCACCAUUGGAAGUGGCCACUUUUGCUACCACCACUGCUGAAAUGCACCACCCACCCCUUCACUGUGCUCAUGUCUGCUGUUUGGUCUCCAUAAGCAUUCAGCAAGUUUUGAUGAAUGUCAGUGAGUGCCAUUUUUUUCCACAUGGAAGAAAUUCAGUUUCACACAUUUGCUUCAUACGCAUUUCCAUGUCAGACUCCAUUUUGUCAGACUGCCCCUCUGCUGCCAUCUGUUGUAUGGAAACAAAGUGUAAUGGGGUAUUGACAGGAAGGUUCUAUCUUCUACUGCCAUAAAAUCAACAUUCACUUCUGACAUCAUGACUGUCAUGAUUUUAUGACUUUUGGUUAUCAGUAUUCCACAUCACAACAUCAUGCAGUGUACUGGGAGCUAAGGAGCAAAUGCUUUAGUUCUGGGUACCUGUCUGGAAGAGAACUACGUUCCCCAAGAGCCUUUUCGAGUAUUGUUAUCAUUCCUGGUCAAGGGAACAGAUAUAAGGGCGCAGGUCAUCUGACUUGUCCCUCUUCUCGUCUCGCCGUGUUCCCUGUCGGAUCGGCUCGCUACUGCUGCGCCCAACUGCACGCAAGGCUUCAGUAUUAGCGUAAGGCCUUUGGCUCUCGGACAAUCUUUCUCUCAAUUAUUGCUGAUUUAUAUUGUAUUAUAGUGUGUUAUCUUACAUUCCGAUACUAUAUUUAGUAAAUUAGUUUGUUUCUCCUCAGAUCGUUGCCGCUGUUUUUAAUUAUUUUGGGGUCCCCUGUUUCCCUUCCUGGAGGCGCGGAUUUUGCGAAAUCCCUCCGCCCCACUAGUCGCAGAACCGGGCCGGACCAGCGCUUAAACCGUUGACAAUGACGCAGCAUAUAGGAGGCAUUACUUUUGGACCAGGUCUUGCAUCUUUAUAAUUUAUAUUUUUUCACUGAUCUGUAAAUCAAUUUUUUUUCAGAAGAAUUAAAAAGAAACAGAUCUUCGUGUUCUACUCAGUUAUUAAUUUUGCCAUUAAUUACAAUAUGUUUUCGCUGUUUCAUUUUUUUUCUCUAAACAAAUUAUCAAGAGACAAAGACAUGAGAGAUUUUGUGUAAUUCACUAUCCACAUCCUGCAAUCUGUACAUUUUCCUACAUUACUCUUGUUCUAUUUUAAUUAUAAGAAUGUUGUUUCUGGUUGAUAGAAUGUAUAUUCUUUAAUCAUGAUAUAACAUUAAAUAUGAUUUCCUUGCAUUAUGCGACAGUAAUAGUAGAAUGUAAAAUAUAACGAGACAGUGAAUCUUGUAGAACUAUUUAAUGAAAUGAAUUAAAUUACUAUGCAGAAUGAAUAAAAACAAUAUAGUUAAAAUUACACCAUUUGUUUAAUUCUUAGAAAUAAUAAUACAGGUUUUUUUUUUUUACAAACAAUAUAGGGUGUAAUAUAAUUCCCGGUAAUUACACUUGAUAUCAGUCUCUUUGUAUGUAUGAAAAUAUCAAUCUAUCUUUAUGAUUUAGUAGCCUUGUUUUAUAACAUGGAACAAUUCAAGAAAUAAAUUAGCAUUAUAAAUAUUUAAUUAAAUAAUGCAAUAGAGAACAUUUUAAAAGCUAUAUAACUGUAUUCUGCUUUGAAAGUUUAAGAGUCUUUAAAUAAUUUUACACAUUUAGAUUUUAACUCUAAUAACUUGCACAUGCGCAACCUUACAUGUUGUGCACUUCAGUCAUAGGCUUCAGGGAUCAAUUAAGGAAUGUAAGAGGUUUGAAGUUAUAAGUCCAUACUGUUCACAACUGACAAUAGUUAAUUUAUUUUAUGAAGAAAUUUCUUCUGAAGAAAUGCAUUGAGAUGACUGUAGUAUCACUAGUGCCUAGUUGUUGCCUUAAGCUGUAUAUAGUCCAAGACUAUGCUAUUUUGAUGGCAUAUAUUACAUAUUUCAAUAGAAUUGUUGCUUUCAGUACCCUUUAACUCAUACAAGCAUUUACCAGCUUUUUCAGGAAAUUCAUUGUCUGACUCAGUUGCAUUAUCUUCCUCAUCUUUUCUUGGUUUCAAGUCAAAAUAGCAAAUUUAAUAGAAAGGGUAAGAUAUGCCAGUUGUUCAAAUGAAAUACUAUUCUACUUAUUCAUUAUAUAGUCUAUACAACAUUCUCUCAAUUCUUUCUUUGAGUUUAGCAUAAGUAGGAAUUAUGCUAUUGUAAAAUAAAUAAAUGACUCUAAAGUGUAUUUUUAAUGAGAGAUUAAUAAAAAUGGAUAUUUCAUUGUAAAAAUGUACUGUUUAACUGACACUGUAUUCUUCUUUUUGUUUAAUUUUUCUAAAUGAAGAAAAAGGUUUCUUUUGUUGUUAUCAUUAUUAUUUUCAACAGAGAAUAAUAGUAGUUGUAAUUAAGCUAUUAUUAUUAAAAAUAAGAGAAGUACUGAAUCAUAGCAAGUUAAUGGCUAAUAUUGCAUGUACAUCACUUGUGGAUUUACUGUGUUCACUUUACAGUAUGCACACAGACUAACUCUACAUCAUGUGUCUAGUAGGUUAUUCUCUUUCUGAAUGCUAAAUUCCCUUCUAGGGUACAUCAACAUGCUCAUUCUCCUUGAAUUAUUUUUGGAAGAGCUGCCGUUAACUGCUAGAAAAAGACUUUAAGGUCUAGACAGUUAUUUGAUUUACCUAGCAUGUUUCCAAACAAGUCAUCAUUUAGCUUUAAUUUCAGUGACAAAUUAGCAUGAUGAAACUUAAAAUUGGUGUGUUGGUGUCAUGGUUUUAUGAUCUUUGGUUAUCAGUAUUCCACCUCAUAACAUCAUGUGCACUGAGAGUUAAGAGGUUAAUGCUCCAGUUCUGGGCACCUGUCCAGAAGAGAAGAACUACAUACUCCAGGGAGCUUUGCGUUCAGAGAGGAGAUAUAACCACUGGCAAAGUCACCCGAUGUCACUUUUACCUUCGGCUCUCCUCCCUGCUGCCCAACCUGACCACGCAUCUCACCUCAGUGGUAUGGUGAGGCUUUCAGUUCUCAGGCACUCUCUCUGUCACAAUAUUUGAUUUAUUAGCUUCAGUUCUAAUUAUAUUGUAUUAUAGUAUGUUAUCUUGCAUUCCGAUACUAUGUUUAGUAAAUUAGUUUGUUUCUCCUCUGGUUGUUUCUGCUGUUUUUAAUUAUUCUGGGGUCCCCUGUUUCCCGUUUCCAGAGGCACAGAUCUGCAGAUCCCUUUGUUCUGCUAGUCACGGUACCGGGCCGAACCAGCCCAUGAACCUGCUGACAGUUGGGAGUUAAAGAUGUUAGUAUUAUAAAAAGUUAAGACUCUAGUGUGUAUGUUAAAUAAUAUGUACAAUAUAUAGUGAUGGUAUUUUACAUGUGUCGAAUAAAGAGUAGGAGGGGUGAAUGAAGAAUGUCUUGAUUUUGUACAUAGUUUCUUAGGUUCAAGUUAGACAUAGUUCUCUAAGAACAGAAGUGCAUGGUUUUUGUGUUUGCUUGUUCUUUUCAUGGAAGGUAUCGUAAGAUUUCAAUACAAAAAUAUGUAGGAAGAAGUUGUUCAUUUUUAUUUCAUAUAUAAACAAAGGCACAAGGACUUUCAUGCUCUCUAUGAGCAUGAAAAGAAAGCAAAACUUUCUUUUUCACAGUUGUUAUUCUUUAGCAGUAGAAUAAAACACAACAGAUAAAUAUUGUUUUAGACAAAAUGUUUAUGUAUAUCCACAUGCAGUCAAUUACUCUUGUGUAUGUUCUAUACACUUCUACUUAUUAGUUUUGCUUACAUUCAAACAAGCUUAAACUUCACCUAGAUAUGAAAAACAGACAAAAUCAAGGAGACGUUCUUUCCCAAAAUAUAGUGUUUAUUUGAUUUUGGUGAACUUUGGAUACUGAUUUUCCAUGGCACUGAUCAGUGUCUUUAGCUAAGUGUUUAACAGCACCUAAGAACUAGAACUAAUAGAAUCAAUUGAUAGAAGCUCCAUCCCAGAUAUAUUAGUUCUGAGACAUGAAUCUGAAUACUCCUCAGGAAGUGUAUUGGCCCCAGUAGGAUCAGUGGAGUAAAGAUAGAUAGAGCUGAAUGUCAUCAAAAUAACAGUGAUGAAUUAACCUAUUCCAUUGGAAAAUUGAAGCCAAUGAUAGAUGGAUAAUAGGAACCAGUUUUGCAAGCAGGCAAUCUCUCAUGAAAGUAGAUUUUUCAGACAGGAUAAUAUAUAUAUUAUAUAGAUAUUAUUAGAUUAUUAUAGAUAUAUUAGAUAUAGAGGAUAAUUUUUAGGUAAUCUCAGGCCUAAUUUUCUUUUAUAUAUUCUCUGAACACUCAACUAAGAAAGACUUGCAGGAAUAAACCCAAAUAAGAAAAUAUACUGUGUUUGGUCAAAAUAUGUUGUUUUUAAAGGAUUAUGAACGUAUCAUUAACCAGAAAAUUAACUGAAAAAUUAAUGACAUUUUCACAUUUACAGCCCACCAUAAAGUAUGUGCUAAUCCUCAUGGGCUAGUUCAGAUGAAAAAUAUUUAUCCCCCUUUGCUAAAGAGGGUGCACUACCUAAAUUAUGUCUAUGAAUAUACAUUAGUAUGUGAAGAAGAUUUCAUUUCUUUCUUUUGACAGCACAACGUACUGGCAACUUUACUUAAAUGCUGUACUGCAUAUUAUCCCAAAAACCAGUUAUAAAAUCUCUCCGCAGUGGAUGAUAAAAUAAAUACAAAUUAAAAACUACUUCACACUUUGGAUGAAAGCAUAUCUGAGUAUAACAGUACUUUGAAUCCAUUUAUUAUUAUCAUUUUACAUAGAGUAUUAUUGAGUUUCAUACAUAAAAAUAAUAAAUUUUUUCAAUGCAUCUUUAUACUUAUCAGAAAAUAAGAAUACUAAAACAUCAUUCAUUAUACAAGUAUAGAUUAUUUUAGUAUAAUGAGAAGAUUUCUGGUUUUUAUAGCAAUAUUUUGGUCAGAUUCCUGGUCUUCCUUUUCCUGAAAUUAGCUUCUGUUACCUUAGGGCAACUUUUACUUACUUACUUACUUAUCUAUUUAUUCAUUUAUUUAUUUAUUUUAAACUUAAGUCUUUCCUCUUUUAAAGUAAGAUUCUGAAGUGCGAAAACCAAACCCUAUAGCCUGUAAGGAUAUAGAGCAGGUAUGUUUUUAUGAGCAAUGCACAUAUGCCCCGGUGCAAGGGGAGUAGCUCCUCCUAACUUACACACCGCCAGGAAAGCGUGCUACAGAUAUAGGCUGAGCUAAUGCAUAACAGUUGACAGGAAUUCGGAUACAUAUUCAUUACAUUCCCAAGAGCCCAUUAGUAUGCAGCCCCUCCCCCCUUGCACAUGCAUGGUAAGUCGUGAGGGUUCGUAGUCUUCCUUGCUGCAAACUUCUGACCCUGAAGGGGGGGCAUCCCCCAAACCAAUUGCAGCUUGCCCUGUGGACAUUUUAUCACCUCCCUGCCAGAUGUCCUCAGGCUGUUCUCAAGUCCUUAUCUUUAUGGCUUUCAUCCCCCUUGUUAUUCCAGACCCAGUGUCUGUGAAAGUGCUUGCAAUCCCUUAUUUUCUAACACUCUCUACAUAAGCUAUCUCUAUUUGCCCCUGCCUCAGUUUCUGUGAAGCUCCUUUCCCUUUCUUUACUGUGAGGCCCUUCUCUCUUUUACUGCAGUGUCUGUUCUCAUUCUUCAAUUCUUUAUUUACCUAUUUGGCAAACCUAGAUAAAUGUGGAAAUCAAAAUUAAAUAUAAUGAGCGUCCUAUUACUUAUGGAUAAAAUCUAAGUAUGUGAAGAGUUUCUUCACCUUUGAAGUCAUGUUUAACUAGUCACUGUCUAUUCUAAAGUGUAUGUGCAUGGUGUAUUCCAGCUUAGAUUUCUUCUGCCAAAGAUGUUCAAUCAAUAUGAAUAUGUUCAUGAAUAUUUCAUGAAUAGCCAUUGUUACGCAUUAAGAAAUAGGUGUUGAUUAAAAAAUACAAGUGGACAUUUCUAGAACCAGAACUUCAGUCUGGAAAUACUGUUUAUUGGACUUGUUAUUAUUUGGGUGGCUGUGGGUUUUUUCUUGUGUGUGCUGGGGGGGUGAGGGAGGGGGAAGAGCAGUGGGGAGAGUGACAAAUGUAACAUGUUCCUGUUCCUUUAGUUUAGUUUAAUUUACUUCUUUUGCUUCUGAAGCUUAAUUACGAAAACAAAAGUAAGGUAACUGUAUUCACAUGAGUAACUCAACUGCUUUACUAUCUUUAAUAGUCUGAGAACUCCUGUAAACUCUUCUCAGAAGGGUUUGAUCAUGGGAACACCAUGAAAAUACAAAUUCAGACUUGCUAAAACAAUCUGUGAAGAAGUGACUUUAAUUUUGCUGUUGUUUUUGCUGUUGUUGUUGUUUUCCUGUUAAGAUUACAGCUAGGAAGUUACUGAACUGCUCUUGUCACUCUAAAAGGGAUAGAGUUAUGUGAUGCACCCAUCUGGAAAAGAAAGAUGAUUAACUGAACUGCAAAAAGUGGAUCAGAUCUGGAACUAGAAGCUGAAAACAUCCAGUUUUCAUUUUAAUUUUAGUAUAUAUAGUAUGGUCCAAAUUCUUGUAACUGUGCUGUUCUCAGUGAAUUUUUGAUGGAAUACAUUGAUGGAAUUCAGGAUUAAUUGCACUCUAAGCAAAAUAAUGAAGAAUUAGCUCAAGAAAAAUGUGAAAGCUACUUUGUAAGUAAUGCCUCCUAUUUUAUUAUGCUGCAUCAUGAUGUCAGAAGUGAAUGUUGAUUUUAUGGCAGUAGAAGAUAGAACCUUCCUGUCAAUACCCCAUUACACUUUGUUUCCAUACAACAGAUGGCAGCAGAGGGGCAGUCUGACAAAAUGGAGUCUGACAUGGAAAUGCGUAUGAAGCAAAUGUGUGAAACUGAAUUUCUUCCAUGUGGAAAAAAAUGGCACUCACUGAUAUUCAUCAAAACUUGCUGAAUGCUGUCUCGCUCCAAUUUAUAGGAGGGAGAGGAGGUUCUUUGAAAUAUGCAGCAGACAUGAGCACAGUGAAGGGGUGGGUGGUGCAUUUCAGCAGUGGUGGUAGCAAAAGUGGCCACUUCCAAUGGUGCAGAUUUUCAUGAGCACUACAUGCAGGCUCUCAUUCAUUGCUAGCAAAAACACACAGCUAAUGCUUGUGACUGUGUUAAAAAACAGUGUUUUGUAGUGUAGAAUUUUCCCUAUGAAAUAGUGUUAUUGUAUUCUUUGUGCUUGCUGUAAUUUCCAUGGAAAUAAAUAAACCACGUUACUUUCCGAACAACCUAUAUACUUCUCUUUAUAAUGGUUGGUGAUCUGUUUUUCUGCUGUGUUGAGGCUAGUAGAAACAGACAGAUUAUAUGUUCAUUGCCUGGAGGAUGAGCAAUUCUCUCAUGUCAUUCAACUGUGACCUUUCUGGUUGAAGGAUAAUAGAAGAUCUCCAAAACUUUUCAAAUAAAAAAUGGCUGGAAAAUCUUCGGAAUUUAUAAUAUGUUACCAUUCUUGUUUUCUCUUUUAUUCUUCUACAUGGCUUAUACUGCAAGGGGCAUUAUGUUAUUAACACUAAAGUUGUUUUCUUAGCAUUAAAAAAAAAAGGGGGGGGGGGGAGGAAUGAAUUUCUAAAAGAAUUGUGAUGUAAUUAAGAUUAGACUGACUUUUCACCUAUAGCAACUCACUAUUGUUGAUGUUUGCAUGCUCUGAAUGGAAUAACGACAACAACACACAUUAAAGAAUCAACAUUUAAGAAGCCAUGCCUUUUAAGAAGCUAUGCCAUCAAAAGCCAUGUCAUUUAGUUUUCUGUAUCUGAAAUAAGGAAGGUAUAAGAUAAACUCUUAGGUUGAACACUUUGAUAGUGUCAAGUAAUGUAUGAAGGAAUAUUUUUAAAGAAGUCACAGUUCAAGUAAAGAUGGAUGCUUAAACAACUUCUAUUGUUUAAAGAUGUACUUUUACUUCUAUGCUUUAGUUCACUAGAUGGAUUUGACAACUAUUUUGUAAAUUUCAGCUUCUCAUUUGCUUAUUUUUUUCUCCCUGUUUAUAUGGACUAUUUCACAAAUAGUUGAAUUAACAUCAUGAUGAAGAAAUACAUUCUGACUCAGGACCAGAGGGAAUUGUUUUGGAUCUUGUAGUAAUUUUUAAUAACAAAAUUCCUAAAUCAAAAUAUUUCUAUGUAUUCCUAAAUCAAAAUGACUUUAUUUUGUUAUUGUAGGAUUAUCCACAUAUAAAUUUAUUAUGAGUGAGCAUCAUUCAAUUAAAAUAACGUAUAAAACCACAAGCCGAUAUAUGCAUGAGGAUAAACAUAAUUUACAUUGCUUUAUUUGGCAUACAUACUACUUUAAAAAGUAAAUAUUAUAUAUAAUUCAUUAUAUUCAAGUAAUGCAUUGAUUUAAAGAACUAUUCAUUACUAUAAAUAAAGCUUAGAAUAAUUAUUCCUUAAUUCAAAAACUAGUAGAUCAUUUUACUAAGUGUUUAUUCAUGACAGUAGAGAGUGUGUUUUUUUCUUUCUAGAAUAUCUAAGACUAGAUUUAUAUAGUCAGGAUAGGCAUUAUAACCAAAUUUGCCUAAAGAUAUAUAAAAUCUGAAAGUUACAGGUGGGUAGAGUGAGAGACACACAUAUGGUUACAUACCCCAUGUUUCUCUUUCAGAUUCAGCCUGUGAAAAGAGUGGUAGAUGACUGAAAUUACAUUGAAAAAGGAAAUUAAUAUGGACAAGAAGUCAGGAAUUAUUAUUGUCUAAAUAAUCCUGUUACUUGAAGAGUUAAAUUUAUAGCAGCAUUUUUUAGGUCAGUGUGAAUACAAAAUCUAGCCCCAGAUACCAAAUAUAUAAGGCUAGCAAAUCUAUGAACAAAUGGGACCUAAAGGGGGCCUAUAAACAGGUGACCAUCUUUUUACAUGAGUAGAUAGUGGUAGGUCAAAGAGGAAUGGUUUUAAAAUGAAAGAAGAGAGAUUUAGAAUAGUUGCUAGGUGGAGAUGUUUUAUUCAGAGGGACAAAAAAUUCCACACAAAUGACAUUGUAGGACAAAAUUAAGAAAAGAGUAACAUGGAAAAAAUGUACAUGUCAGGUGAGUCACCUCAAAACCCCUAAAUUCUUUAAUGCUUCAAUUUUGUAUGGCUGGGGAGAAUGAGUAACAUUAAAUUAACAUUAAUUUUACCAAUUCUUUAUUUUAUAAAAAUAAUAAUUUGCAGUAAAAACUGCCAUUGAGACCUAAUAAUCAGACUUCAUUCACUACUAUACAGAGCUCUUUUCUUUGAAAGGAGUUCAGAUUUUUUCAGUAAUGACCUCUAUUAGCACCCAUAUAGACAGGAAGAGCAAGCAAGUGCUCAUAUCCUAGCCAACACCUUUUUGAAAGAGAUUGAAUAGAGUGCUUUAAAUUCAAAUUGUAUGUUUCCAAAUAUGUAUGAAAGAAAAUCAACCUGUCCAAAAAAUGAAUGAAAAUAAUGUGCAGGAGUAUGACAGAACGUUGAAACUUUUCCUGAUGUCCUGUUCACGGUAUUUUCAUGUCACUUGUGUAAAUUAUCAGAAAUUUACGCAUCAGUUUGGAACCUUACUUUAUCUCAUCUUUUUCAACAGAUUCUUUCAGUACAACCUCCUAUAUAUAAGCUACAUGAAUAAUCAGAGAUUCUGCUGUCUAAUUACCACAUAUGAUCUUGGGGAUCCUUUCAACAGUUCAAAUGCUCUCACUUCUAGAAAGCUGUAAUGCUUGAAUAUGAAAGAUUCCCAUAUCAUUGUCAUGGUCACAAAGUUAAAGUCUAGGUUGAAGGCUCUGGAAAAUGACUGUGGAAUAAUCCUUGACAGUUAAAACCUUCAUAUGCAUUUUUGGUAUAACUUAGUAUUAUCUUAGCCCAAAACAGGAUAGCAGAUAAAAACUUCUGGUCAGAUCAGAGCACUGAUUCCCUUGUAUUUGUAGUCAAGACUGUGUUUCAAACUCAAGCAAAAAUGUAGGGUGAAUCCUAACAAAGACCAACUUAACAAAAUUUUGGGUUUAUUUGUUUAUUUUUUGUAAGUAAGAAUAAAUUUUCCAGAUUCAGUGUAUAGAUUAAACUUUUUGCACAGCCUUUGCUUCUUUUCACAUACCACAAUUUGCUGGAACCAAUACUGCAUGAGAUAAUUCAUUGGAGAUAGAUGAUGCAAAUUCACCAGCUCAGCAUAUCCCUAUUGAAGACAUUGCACUAUUAGAUGUACACAAUAUGUUUAUUCUUCUUUCUCAGCAAUUAGCCUUACUGAUACAGUCAGUGUUUCAUCUCAGCAUGAAAUAACAUUAGAUAACAUUGCAUUCUGAGGAAGUUGAAAAAACAGGGCUCCGCAAGUGAGAAUGAAUUAGAAAUGCUCUUGCAGUAGAGGCCCUAGAGUUACAAACAAGAAGCUGAUGAACGUAUUUAGCAAGGGACUUUAAGUAAAAUCUCUCCUCUGCUGAAAAUUUCUUAUUCUUUAGAAUAUUCUGCUUCUGAAAGGCAUUUUUUGACAAGUGCCAAAAAUAAUUUCUAUACAUUGUUAGUACUUUCCCAAUCAGUCUUUUUUUGUUGUUGUUCUUGUUUGUUGUUUUAUUUUUAACAAAAUGCAUGUGGCCAGAGGACAUGUUAUUACUAUUGAUAUUCUGAAAAUGAGCAUGAUUGUCUGUGCAAUCUAAAUUUCUUUUGCAGAAAUACAUACAAUGGAAAGGUAAAUAAAGUGAUUAAGUCUUAAAGAAAAACAGACCUGAGGGAUUAUAUUAUUCUUACCUAACUUGGAACACUUAGUAAGGCAAUAUCUCAGCUAUCUUAUCAGAACAUUUUAUAAUCAAUAAGAGUUUAUAUGAUGUGAUUAAUUUAACUUAUUUUGGAUACUUACAGUAGAACACGAUGAACUGAGUCAUACCUAUAAUCAUAAUACUCUAUUACCUAUAAAAACAGCUUACAGUGACUAGCUAAGUAUCAAAUUAUAUCCCACAUCAGAUGAAUUUAACACAUAAAUUCUGUUAAUACCUGCUACAAAAUUGUAAGCUGUUUUUUCAAUACAAAUUUUUCCAUACAGGUGUGUUUUCUGACUUCAUUUCAUUCAGUCUGUAGACAUACAAACCGUAGAAUACUUUUUAAAUUUCUUUUUAAAAUCUUCUUCUUACUGACAAUGCACUAGGAGGAACUAUAAAUGCAUUAUGUAUAUGUAUACUUCAUAUCUGAGGAUAAGCACAGAUCAAUAAACACUGAUACUAGUUCUACAUUACCAAGUCAGAAAUUAUUUUGCACUAUUUUUGUUGAGUAACACUAUAGUGUGUAAUAUGCACGUGUAUACACAUACAUGCAUCUAACAAUGCAUAUACAUUUUCAUUCGCAGUCUUUAUUUCACAUAAAAGACAAUAUGAAUUCUUCAGCCUUACUCAGACUUACUUGAGGAACCAUAUUGUAUAUUGUCCUAACAAUACCUGUGAAGAUUUUGUCCUAAGAAAUUCCCUUGUUUUUCCUAUAUUAGCAGUACCAGAUCCCCUCUAAAUGUAAUGCAGUUGGGUGUUUCUUUUUUUAUUCCAAUGCCUGUUUAGUUAAUUUUAUUUUACUGUCUUCAGCUUGCAUAGCAUUAGUACAAGAGCGACAUAACUAAAAGUCAUUAAAAUGUUUCUUUACAUUUCAGGAAACACAAUAGUUGAAACCCUUAUCCUAAUGAAUUCUGGCCCUGAAUUCUAUCGAAUCAGGAUUCUGUUAACUAACUUCUUGGUAAUGUAGUUUUUGGAAUAUAUGCUUACAGGAGACAGUCUUCUAUUCAGCAACAUUUCAUCCUUAUCUUUGCUUCCUGAUGCUAACUGAAUUGAAGCAAAAGCAGGAAACUGGGCCUUUUGCUUUUCCAAUAGAUGUAUGUGAUGCAGCAGAUAGUUACAAUCAGAUUGAAGACUAUAUUUCAGCUGUCAAAUCUUUCCCAUUAGGACUCAUGAGAAUGAUUUCCGAGAUUGUCGAAGCCCUAAAUUGCUACUGAAUGACCUGAAUAUUCUUAAUUUUUCUCCCAGAAUAAAUAAUGUGAUUCUUUUGUACAAAGUGGGAAAGGUUCCACAAUUUUAGUGGCAUUUUGAAAAGAGGUACAUCUGAUUAAAUGAAAAAGGCUAUGUGUUGGAUUUCACUUUGUUUUGCAAUUUCAGAAUAUCUGAAAUAUUUUUGUAUAGUUUGUAAGAGUUUCAUGCUGUUCCUAGGGUGUAGUUCAUUGUCCUAAAGUAUGCUUUUAGCUAUCAGUAUUAAAAUUGCUACAAAACUUUGAAGAGCGCAAUGGAAUAAUUACCUUUGUGAGUAAAGCGCCUAUAAAGGCAAGAUGAAUCAACGAGCUUAAGCUACAUGUUCCAAUAAGAUUUCUUUUUUUUCUUUUCUUCUUUUAUAAUAAAAGCUUGUAAGAAUCCUAGAACCUCUGAUUCAACAACUUUAAGCUUAAGGCAGGCCCAUUCAGAAAGCAAUUAAAGAUGCCAUGGGUAGAGGGCUUUGUGAGGCAUUUUCUGCUUACUCCUUCAUGCAAAAGGCGUCUCCCAGCACUGUUUCCACUAAAUAUUUGACUUUAAACCCUCUUUUAUUAUUUAAAAAAUCCAAAACUUUAAAGCUGUGCAGAUUUGAGAUACUUAAAUAGGAUGUUCUCCUGCAUCCUGAAAAAAAGUCUGUCUGAAGUUAUAGUAGAUCAGGAUUAUCUUGGUGGAAUGGCACUUGGUUUUAAACAAUGUAUUUUCUGUAAUUUUGUUAUGACUUUUUUUCACAUACACAGAAUACAACUUAUACAGUACCGAUAUCUAGAAUGCUACUUUGCUUAGUUUAUCUAGAGUUGAUACCUUUUUGUAUUUAACAUACGGCCAUUCUUAUAUUACUGUACCUUUCUGCUCACUGUAUCAUUAGCACAAAAAAAGAAGAAAAGGUCUCUGAAUUCCUUUUAUUUCUAGUUUCCAGAAAGACUCUAAGCAUCUUUAGGAUCUGAAUGAUACCUUUCUGGCUAUGUUCUGUCAUUGCAGCUGUAGACUUGGAAAGUUCUUUAUUUUUUAGUUCUGCUUACUACAAAUUUUGGAAUUUAAGGCCUACAGUUCUUCAGAAGUUUGAGCAUCUUAUUACGAUCAGAUUUGUUAGGAUAUCACAGGCCUUUUCAAAGUUUGGAUUAGGAAUUAGUAUCUGCCUUGGAGACUAUUGUGGUUUGUUUUAAUUCUUAACUAGUCUACAUUUGUCUUCUAAAUGUACUUCUGAAAUUUAAACACUUUGUAUCAUGAAGGCGGCUAUGGUUGCAUGAUUUUUGAUAACACAUCUCUGUUAAAUAUUUAAAUGGUUAUUUCAUACAUAGAGUUUUGAAACCCCAGUUGUUUAAAUAAGUCUCUACCUUGAGAAAAUAUUUCAGAAAAAUUUUCAUAAUCAUCAGUGAAAUAACAAGUAAAUACAACAGUCUUGCCAAAGAAUUAAAUGCUGGCUGCAGAAGCUAUGUAAGUAUCCUAAUGAGUUGAAUGAGGAAAAAAUACCUCUUGGAAGUUAAAUAUUUUAUUUUAAUUAUUUAUUUAUUGAGUGGCAUCUUCAAGUAAAUUCAUGCACAACUCAUAAUGUAACAAGACUAGACGUUCAGAAAUUUUUGAAGUGAAUCAGUGUGGCUCACUGUUUUUUCUGUUGAUUGGAGCAGUUGUAGAGGUAAUAAGAGUGAUUGCAAUAAGAAAGUCUUGACAUAAAAUAGCUGCUAAAAUGUGUUAAGGAAAAGUCUGCCAACUAGAAAGCUGAACCUGAGAGCUAGAAACCUUGAGGUACGACUGAACAUCUCUUAUGGAUGGUACCCUGAACAUACUACUCCAUUGUUAAGACCAAAUAGAGGAAGGGAGGAAUGUUUUAUCACCUAAGGAAGGGGAGAUCAGUGUGAGGAAUAAACUUUAGAUGAAAUAAGAAAUAUUAUCUAUAGACUGUAUCAGGAAGAGGACCUAAACUAACAGGACCAAUUUUUUACCUAAGCAGUGGUGUCCUACUAAAAUAACGAUUUUUACACAAGAUGGAGCUUCCUUCUGAGAAACUUCCAGUGCUCUAUGUUCUGUUUCUUUGUCCUGGUUUCUUUUUUUUUUCCUUAAACAGGCUGAAGUUUCACUGAAACUUUGGUUUGACCAUGUGCCUUGACAGCAUUGACUCCAAAACUCUAACACUCCAUGCCUGGUGAUACUGAUCAGUGUUGAAGUGAGACUCCACUUUAUACUCCUUUUGAGCCUUUUUCUGUGGACAGACUGUUUUCUUUUGAUAACUGUUUUAUUUUGAACAUUUGGCAGUCAUUUUUCUUUGUGGCAGUUGCUUUAUUUUUUACUCUUGUGGUGGUUGGUUUUCUUUUUGGUAAUUAUUUUUUGUCUUUUUGGUAUUUGAUUUUCUCUUGGAGAUUGUUUUAUUGACAGACACACUACAUUCUUUCCCCCUUCUGGGAUCUGUUUGAUGCAAUUGGUAACAGUAAUUCUAUGAAUAUGUAUGUAUAUAAUCUGUCAUAAGUCUAGUCUUGACAAGUUUGCAUUUUUACUGUUGUAAUAUUCUUGCUAGUUGUAACAGAAAUGCUAAGUCAUGGUCUGAAACAGUGACUGAGUACCUGGUGGGAAAGCAGGACCAACCCAGAGGAACUCAGGUGCAUGCAAUGAACCUGAGUAACCAGAAGGAGUGCAUCCUGGCUCCACCCCUUCCCAGACCUCAUUUAAAGGUUGGAAGUGGAGGUGAGAGUGUUUUGCUGGAGAUCUUUCCCUAUCUGAGGCCUUCUGAAGGUAAGUGGUUUUUCUUCAUUUCUGUGGCUGCUGUAUUUGGGCUUCUUCUUGUUUGCUGUAGCCUGGGUUGUGCCACUCUGCUGUUAUUGCUGUACUUUCUAUCAUGUUACAGUAUUUCACUAGUGGUGAAUUGUGUUGAUUUCUAAUAAACAGAAAUAUUUAGUGAACAAAGCCUUUGUGUUUUUAAUAUCACAGAAUCCUACAUCCAUGAUAUUUUAUGAUUGUUAAGUACCCUUAGGUUAGGUAGCUUCCUUUCUCUUUUGGGCUGUGACAGCUACUUAAAAAGCUGAAAAAUAAGCAGUCUCAGCUGGAUUGACUGCAGUGGGAUUUAGAAGUCUAGAAGUCAUUUCACAUUGAGUCUGGAUUUAUUUCAUAGUUAUGCAAUGAUAAUUGUGUUAUUUAUUAUUAUUGUACUUGUAUAUUAGUAUUUUAGUUGUAUUUAUAUGGUACCAUCAAGUAAACUGUAUGAAUUUAUAACUCAACUGAUCAGAGUAAGUGAAAGUUGCUCAUGUUCUUAAAACUAAGUAUGCCUACUAAUGUAUAUGUUAAUUGUUUUAUUUGGGCUACACAGCUGGUAGUGUGAGAAAGUAUAAAUUUUAUCUAAGUAAGAUUUUUCUGGAAUAAAGAAGAGCAUAAGAUCAAUACUGUAGUAGGGCCAGAAGGAUAUAGGUUACUGGAAGAAGACUACUUAAUGAAGUGUACAAAAAUAAAUUGACAAAAAAAGUAAAUUAGCAAAAGUCAAUUUCUUACACUCUGACUUUUGAGUCCUAAAGGAAUUGGGUUUUGAAAGCACCACAAAUUAAAAGCAGAGUAAGAAGCUGUUUGAUUAAAUGCAGACUAAAGUUUAUAAAAAUCACUUAUUGCUAGUUAUUUGUGAUUUGUUAAGAGUAAUUUGGUUCAGUUUAUUGAUCAAACAAGCUUUGGAGGACAGGGGAAUUAAGCUUCUGUCUAGUACAUGUGAUCUGAAAUAUAUCAAUAGAUAGCUUCAAAAAUUUUAAACUAGCUCAAGCACUUCAGAAAGUUAUUUAUUUUAUUUCUUUAGUGACAAACUGGCCUCUCUUAUGCCUGAUAUACCAGGACCGUUUGCCGCCUGAUAGACUGAGAAAAUACUAUGGCAUUAUAUUUUGCCUCUGAAAAUGAAAUCUGGAAGUGACUUUUAUUUACUUGCCUUAAUACAGUAAUUUAACAAAACAAGUUUCAGUGGAAUAACACAUCCAUGCAGCUGCUUUCCUCCUUGAAAGCAAGUGUUCAAACAUUCUGUCAGUUUGAGAAGGCUGGGUUGUGUAGUUUUAUCCUAAUUUUUGGUGGACAUUUGUCUUAAUGUGUAAUGAAUGACAAUCUGGCAUGGUUAACAGACUUCACUCUUGAAACACUCAGGACCAGAAGAACAGAGGCAUUGGAAGCCAAGUCUGCACAACACAGAGUGGGACACAUGGAGAACCUUGCUAUACAGCACAUCUAGACUCUUUUCAGUAGUGCCCAGUACCAGGACAAGAAGUGAGCGAAAACUGGAACAUAGGAGUUUCCAUCUCAACUGUCAUCUAUGAUUCUGUGAUCUGGAAGAAAUUAUGAUACUUGCAGAAAUGGAAAAGCAGUGUUGAAAGAAAUAUUUUUCAAAAUCAAGAGUGGAGGAUUUAUCAGUCCAGACUCGGAGAAUAUAGUGCAUGUUGUCCAGCUGUCACAUCACAAAGCUGAGAAGAAGACAUGCAAAAUGAAGAUGUAGGCACAAAGGCUGAAGGCAGAUGGGACCUGUAGUGAACUGCUGUGCUUGUGUUUCUUUCUGUUACUAAAAGGAAUUUGUUACGCUAGUGAUUUUAAAUGAUUUGUGGCUGACAGUUUUAGGUUUAAUAAUAGUAAACCAGACAACAUCUGGCAUGGUGAAAUAAAAUUAUUUGAUAUGUAACUUAGCUCACACCCCCAACACACACACACAAAUGAAAAUUAAUGUGCAAAUAAGAAACUUUUUUUGAAGUACAUAUUGAGCCAUCAUUUUUAAUGGAUAACAGAAGAACAUGGGAUGAAGAUUUUUUCCUGAAGUUUUAUUACAUAAUUAAUCCAAAUUUCUUUGUGUAAUUUGGAAGCUUAUAAUGAGAACAGGUAUUAUUCCUCCCCAGAUAUUACCAUCUUUUAAAGAUUUUUUUUAAUAUUUGUGUUAGUAUUAUGGUUAUUUCUGCUUUAGUUCUUCUUCUGAUGCCUUCUUGAAUGGGCAGUGUCAAGGCCAUGUUCAACAAUGGCAAAUCACAAAAAAAUAUUUUUUUCAUAAAGUCAUAAAUUCCUCUUCAUGAACUGCAAAUGAGUCUGUACAUGAAAAUGUGGUGCUCAAAUUCAUUGAUAAUGAGAGUAUACCUCACUGGAGUUUUUACCAUAUUACCUAAAAUGAAUGCGUGCUUUAAGACAUGUGUGAUUGGCUGAAUGACUCUGUAUUUCUGUGUGGCUGUGUGCAUGAAUACACAUGCAUGUGUACAGUUAUUUUAACUGGGAAUGUAAAGGCUCUAGAGGUGAGUCCGAAAUAGCAUAGAAGUCUACUGUUAUUUUGAUUAAAUAAAAUAUUAUUGCUCACAAUAUCUGUGAAAGAUCUUAAAGGUUGCUUGAAGUCAUUUUUAAAUGUUGCGCAUAUUACUUAUUACACUCAACAAGCAUAGCUAAUUGGCAUAACUGAGUACAUGAAUAACAAUAUGUGGCUUAAAACUACAAAAGAAAAGGAAAUUAUAUUUAUUUCCUAUAAAUAAAAUAUUACCUACUAUGUAUUAUUUAUAUUACAUAAAUUUAAACAAUGUAUAAUACAUGAGGAUAAAUUUACUGUAUUUGGAGCAAAAUUAACUGAGCUGUCUCUGAGGACCUUUAUUAAUAUUGCAGAACCAGUAUUAUACUACUGUAUAAUUGAUUUUUGAAGACUAUUUUGCAUAUGUUUUCCUAAAUCACAUCACUUAAGCUAGAAAAUUUUACAUAUCAUGGGCCAGGCAGAUAACACCAUGACAAAGGUGUGUUGUGAAGCAUGAGACAAUGUACUUUAAAAUUC
ensembl:lncRNA